ACAGAAGAGUUGUUGUUUGUAUUCCAGAGACUACAGAGAGUGAUGUAGCAUUGACUCUUAUGGUGAUUUUAAUUGUCUCAUUCUGUAUUUUUGUUACUUGUCUUUUGUUAGACGGAGUGAAAUACAAGCUUGAUUUUGUCAUUUGUGACUGCUAAACUGAUCUGAUCGUCUCAAGUCUGGUGACCUGCUGCAGAAGCUCUCUCUCUCUCUCUCUCUAUCAUUAACAAGCCAUUCAGUCUGUCCUAUCACUCUCCCCACUCUAUCUAUUUUGACAAGCCGUUCUAUCUUGCUUCACUCUAUCCCACAAGCUCUAUCUAAGUUAUCAAAAAUCACGUUUUUAACUGGAAUCAAAUUUUGACUGGAAUCAAGUUUUGACUGGAAUAAUCAAGUUUUGACAUGGUCCCAAUUUUUGGGAAAUUGAAGUUACCAGUACUUCAUCUAUCUGUUACAGAAUUCUGAGAGGUCUCUGCUCUCACUGCUCCUUCUUUCCUAUCGUUAAACUCUCUCACAUCCAGUCUUUUUGCUGGAAAUUACAAGUAGAACAUUGAAAUUACAAUAGUAGAAUUACAGUACAGUAGAAACUACUUACACAGCUGUAGAUUUGUAAUU